UCUCAGCUUAAACAACACACAUUUAUUUCUUGCCAUUCUGGGGCCUGUAAGUUAGAGAUCAAGGCUCCAGCAGAUCAGGUGUCUGGUGAGGGCCUGCUUUCUGCAUCAUAGACAGCCCUGCCUUCCCUUGGUGUCCUCACAGGGAGGAAGGGGUGAGGGAGCUCUCAUGGGCCUCUCUUAUAAUGGCACCAAUUCCAUUCGUGAGGGCCCCACCCUCAUAACUUCAUCGCCUCCAGAGGCCUGACCUCCUGAUACCAUCACCUUGGAGGUGAGGAUUUUGACCUAUGCAUUUUGGGGGAACACAAACAUUUAGAUCAUGACAGGUGGUGUGGAACUGGGGUUCCUGGAUUCAGGACAGUAUUUCAAAUAACAUAAUUUAUUUUUUUGAGAUCUGAAGCACAUCUAAACAACACAAGCUAACUAAAUAGAUGAUGUUCAGGCAAGGAAGAACCAAGUGAUUUCUAAAUAUGUUUUCUAACAGCAGUAGGCUUGGCCUGUAAAACAAACAAACAAAAAGUUUAAAAACUGGGGGAAGAAAAAAACAAAAUAUAAAUGAUAUAGUAAAACAUCUUGGUUGAAAACAAUAGCAUCAAUGUCUGAUCUUUCCGCUCAUCUAUGUAUCGAAUUAAGUUUAGAAAUGCAAUUUGUGGGUUUUGAAUUCCAGCAGCCAGUAGCAGCUCUCUAAAGAGGGAAAGUGAUGGUGCCGACCGCUCCCCAAAGAAUGCCUUUUUGUCUGGACAAUGUACGGAUUGGCUGGGGGGCAGAAGAAAUUGCCCUGGAUGUCCUCUUUCCUUUCUGGUGCCUAUCUUCCCCACCAGCAAACUCGGCGGCCUGGACCUCCAAAUGUAUCCUGACUCCGAGCUGGGUGAUUUCUUUUUCUUCCGAGCCACAACCAUCUCCAUUCUGGACGGCAUCCAUGUGCUCCGAAAGCUCUCCUGCUUCCUCUCAGACUUCCCAACCAUCUCUUCCCCAGGGCACCCGUGGGAUCCAACGGCAUGAA
rnacentral:lncRNA from 1 species